ACAGCAGUGCCACGGGAACACAGAGGGUGCGAGCGUUAAUCGGAUUUACUGGGCGUAAAGCGUGCGUAGGCGGCUUUUUAAGUCGGAUGUGAAAUCCCUGAGCUUAACUUAGGAAUUGCAUUCGAUACUGGGAAGCUAGAGUAUGGGAGAGGAUGGUAGAAUUCCAGGUGUAGCGGUGAAAUGCGUAGAGAUCUGGAGGAAUACCGAUGGCGAAGGCAGCCAUCUGGCCUAAUACUGACGCUGAGGUACGAAAGCAUGGGGAGCAAACAGGAUUAGAUACCCCCGUAGUCCCUGUCUCUUAUACA
rnacentral:rRNA from 1 species